AUGUAGAUGGUUCCUUGCGGUCGCACUGCUGUGAACAUCAAUGGUGAGAUCGGCCCUUACUUACCCACCCUCUGUGGGGUUAGACAAGGCGACCCCUUCUCCCCAUUCUUGUUCAAUAUGGGGGUGGACGCGCUUGUCACCAUCUUGGAUAAGGCUAACGCUGUUGGGCAUAUUCGUGGGAUCACCCCUCACCUAGCAGGCGGCUCCGGGAUAUCCCUCCUCCAAUACGCCGACGACACCAUCAUCAUGGUCAAAGGCUCGGAUACGGACAUCUCUAACCUUAAGUUCCUCCUCCUCUGCUUCCAGGAAAUGUCUGGCCUCAAGAUCAACUUCGACAAGAGUGAUGUGAUGGUUGUCGGUGUCAAAACCGGCGGAUCUCGGGUAGGGGGUCCCGAACUGUGCGUCUAG
rnacentral:rRNA from 1 species